GGAGGGCGUGUGGCUCAGUGGUACAGCAUUUGCUUGUCAUGCAAAAGGUCAUAGGCUCAAUCCCAGCACCUCCA
rnacentral:tRNA from 1 species